AGAUAACCUCUAUGAACUUUACAUUUUGUUUUAUUUAUUUUUUUUAGGUAUUUUUUUUACUUUUGCUAAGAACACAGUGUAAUAAUACAGCGCAUAGUUCAAUAAUCUUUGCUUUCUCGUCUAUUUCGUAGUUUACAAACUGUGACUUUAGCUAAACUUUAGUUAAAAUUAUAAAGUUCAUAUUAUAUUGAAUUAUCGAUAUAAUAAUCAUAUAUUUCUCAAUCUAUCUCGUCAUAUUUUAUUCAAUUAUUUCCUGUCAUAACUAAAAUCUAGAUGAUUUCGAAAAUAUUAACUUGCUAAACUUAUUUGGGCAUGAUCACAAUUCAUUUGCAACAAAUGGAAAGGGUUUAAUUUAAUUGAUAAUUGGUUCUAUUUUAUCGAACUUUUACAAUGUAUAUCCUACACUCCAAAAGAAUAAAACAAUAAAAGCCAAACCAAAAAAAAAAAAAAAAAAAAAACUGAAAAGGAAGAAAAAUUUCAAUCUAUAUUGAUUGAAAUUUUUCUUCCUUUUUAAUUAUUUUUAGAAUGCUGUCUCAUUACUUGGUACCCGAUGGAUGCGUAGUAAAUGUCAAAGAAUGCGUUCAGGAAAUAGUGCACGAGGUGGACGGAACUCCAUGCCAACCGCUGGCAGCCGUAUCCAGGAAGUGACGCUUCAAGGAAAUUAAUUGAAAAAGAUCAUUUUUUAUAAAUAAAAGUUGCU
rnacentral:misc_RNA from 1 species